ACUGCCCCAGAGGCAUUGCAGGUAUGGUUGCUUUUGUGUCACAUUCAUGUCAUUAGGUGGCAGAAAGAAGAGAGGCUUAUCUAGGCCCAGUGUUGUGGCUGGUGAACAUCUGAAUGAUUAACAGUUUGACGCU